UACGGAGGGGGCAAGCGUUGUUCGGAAUCAUUGGGCGUAAAGGGCGUGUAGGCGGUCGAUCAAGUCGGAGGUGAAAUCCCUCGGCUCAACUGAGGAAUUGCCUUCGAUACUGUUCGGCUUGAGUCCUGGAGAGGGUAGCGGAAUUCCCGGUGUAGCGGUGAAAUGCGUAGAGACCGGGAAGAACACCAGUGGCGAAGGCGGCUACCUGGACAGGUACUGACGCUAACAGCGCGAAAGCUAGGGGAGCAAAAGGG
rnacentral:rRNA from 1 species